GACGUAGGGGGCAAGCGUUGUCCGGAUUUAUUGGGCGUAAAGCGCGCGCAGGCGGCCCGGUACGUCGGGUGUGAAACCCCGGGGCUCAACCCCGGGACGCCGCCCGAAACUGCCGGGCUAGAGGCAGGUAGGGGAGAUCGGAAUUCCCGGUGUAGCGGUGAAAUGCGCAGAUAUCGGGAGGAACACCGGUGGCGAAGGCGGAUCUCUGGGCCUGUCCUGACGCUCAGGCGCGAAAGCUGGGGGAGCGAACAGGAUUAGAUACCCUGGUAGUCCCAGCCGUAAACGUUGGGUGCUAGGUGUGGGGAGCAUCAACCCUCUCCGUGCCGUCGCUAACGCAUUAAGCACCCCGCCUGGGGAGUACGGCCGCAAGGCUAAA
rnacentral:rRNA from 1 species